UACAUUUGUACGUGUGUACUUAACACCGGAGUAAGCCGUGUGGGAAAUUUUAUUCUUGGUAAACAACUUCUUUACAAUCUUUGCCCAUUCAAACACUGGACAUAAGCGGGUGUCUAAAUUACAGUUUCCUCGUUGCAGAUAUAGAGGAUGAACAUAAUGCACAAUUAUGAGAAAUCCUUAGUGCAUUUUGUAACAGUUGUGCAUGAUGAUGUAACGUUAUUGUACUGGGGUCAAACAAGCACCUCAACGGAUAUCCGCAAUUAUAAGACUCAGGACAUGGACACACCGAUGGUGCAAAAUUAAUAGUAAAGGGAUAAAGUAUGGAGAUCUGUGUUGGAUUUGAGGCGCACGCGCGGAUUUUAAUUUUUUUUUCUUGGGUGGGGGGAGGGGGUUGCUGGUGGUAUGAAGGGAAGGGAGUUGCUGGUGCUCUGAGGGAGAUGUCAAAACUUGUAACCAUUUACAUAUAGUUUACUAAAUAAGUUUCGGGGAGGGGCCCUAAUCUUAUCAUAACAAUCAGAAAUAAAACUCGUUGAGAAUAC
rnacentral:sRNA from 1 species